ACUCCUACGGGAGGCAGCAGUGGGGAAUAUUGCACAAUGGGGGAAACCCUGAUGCAGCCAUGCCGCGUGUGUGAAGAAGGCCUUGGGUUGUAAAGCACUUUCAGUAGGGAGGAAGGUAGUGUAGUUAACACCUGCAUUAUUUGACGUUACCUACAGAAGAAGCACCGGCUAACUCCGUGCCAGCAGCCGCGGUAAUACGGAGGGUGCGAGCGUUAAUCGGAAUUACUGGGCGUAAAGCGCAUGCAGGCGGCCUGUUAAGUCAGAUGUGAAAGCCCGGGGCUUAACCUCGGAAUUGCAUUUGAAACUGGCAGGCUAGAGUCUUGUAGAGGGGUUAGAAUUUCAGGUGUAGCGGUGAAAUGCGUAGAGAUCUGAAGGAAUACCAGUGGCGAAGGCGGCCCCUGGACAAAGACUGACGCUCAGAUGCGAAAGCGUGGGAGCAAACAGGAUUAGAUACCCCUGGUAGCACAG
rnacentral:rRNA from 1 species